rnacentral:tRNA from 1 species
AUUGUCUAGUGGUUAGGAUACCUGGCUCUCACCCAGGAGGACCGGGUUCAAUUCCCGGU